rnacentral:rRNA from 1 species
GACGAACGCUGGCGGCGUGCUUAACACAUGCAAGUCGAACGGAAAGGCCCUGCUUUUGUGGGGUGCUCGAGUGGCGAACGGGUGAGUAACACGUGAGUCACCUUCCCUUUACUUUGGGAUAACUUCAGGAAACUGGGGCUAAUACCUGAUAGGAGCUCCUGCUGCAUGGUGGGGGUUGGAAAGUUUCGGCGGUUGGGGAUGGACUCGCGGCUUAUCAGCUUGUUGGUGGGGUAGUGGCUUACCAAGGCUUUGACGGGUAGCCGGCCUGAGAGGGUGAACGGCCACAAUGGGACUGAGAUACGGCGCAGACUCCUACGGGAGGCAGCAGUGGGGAAUAUUGCACAAUGGGCGGGAGCCUGAUGCAGCAACGCCGCGUGCGGGAUGAAGGCCUUCGGGUGGUAAACCGCUUUCGCCUGUGACGAAGCGUGAGUGACGGUAAUGGGUAAAGAAGCACCGGCUAACUACGUG